GCCUACGGGGGGCAGCAGUCGGGAAUAUUGCACAAUGGAGGAAACUCUGAUGCAGUGACACCGCGUAUAGGAAGAAGUAUUUCGGUAUGUAAAGCUCUAUCAGCAGGGAAGAAAAAUGACGGUACCUGAGUAAGAAGCACCGGCUAAAUACGUGCCAGCGGCCGCGGUAAUACGUAUGGUGCAAGCGUUAUCCGGAUUUACUGGGUGUAAAGGGAGCGCAGGCGGUGCGGCAAGUCUGAUGUGAAAGCCCGGGGCUCAACCCCGGGACUGCAUUGGAAACUACCGAAAUAGAGUGUCGGAGAGGG
rnacentral:rRNA from 1 species